rnacentral:rRNA from 1 species
UACGAAGGGGGCUAGCGUUGCUCGGAAUCACUGGGCGUAAAGCGCACGUAGGCGGCUUUUUAAGUCAGGGGUGAAAUCCUGGAGCUCAACUCCAGAACUGCCUUUGAUACUGGGAAGCUCGAGUCCGGGAGAGGUGAGUGGAACUCCGAGUGUAGAGGUGAAAUUCGUAGAUAUUCGGAAGAACACCAGUGGCGAAGGCGACUCGCUGGACAAGUAUUGACGCUGAGGUGCGAAAGCGUGGGGAGCAAACAGG